CUUCUGAGGAGCACUUCUGAACCUCGAUUUUGAAAACUUCAUCUUCACACUGGUUAGACAUCCUCUGCUAAGAUGCUCCGCAACAUCUUUCUUGUCAGUUUGCUUAUAUAUGCAGUCUGUGGAGCUCAUUGGGAUAUCGGUGAGGUGGACUCUGCUGAGGACCAAGAUGAAGAGUUCUCUGCUGAUGGCAUGCCGACACAGCAGUCAUCUAGUGAGUG